UAUUAAAACUUGCGUAGGCUAUUUUUUCUGGAAAGCACAGUGACGUGAGCACUGCCGAGAUUCUUUUGUUAAGGAUCGCUUUAAGGGCACCCAAAGGGUUUUGUAGGACAGUAUCUUAUUUCUGUUUUACACCUUCGAUGAAUGUCGUAAGAUUUUCAAAAUAAACUUCCAUCAUCGAAUCUACUGGCCUUGUAGGUUCAACAAAAAUUAAAUCUGUACAUUCUUUUUAUUUUAAGCAAUUCUCUGGGACGUUUUAUUUGUUCUAAUUCCCAGUAUUUUCAGCCAAAACAGUCUGUCAUUGAGCUUAUCUAUUAUGCAAUAUUUCUGUUUGUUUAUAUCUACCCCCUCUCUUUCUACUAUAACAACCUCUAUAGCCAUCUAUAGACUCCACCCAGUUUUUUAUGUUUGUUUAUGUGUAAAAGAAUGGACUGCUGUACCUGUGAACACGAAAGUGUUUAUUGAUCUGUUCACGAUGUCUGUGGGAUAUAGGAACGCAAGGCUGUCGAUAGGCACACUUUUUGGGGUAAUUACUGUGGCAAUCUGGGUGGCGUUUUGUUGGCAAUUUUAUGAAAGGUUCAAGCCAGACUCGUCUACCACUGUAACAUCUCCUACUACAGCAUCUCCACUUACUUCUCCCACUACCACUGUAACCCCACCACCUGCUCUCUCAACUUCUGUCUCAACUCUCUCUACCUCCCCUGCAAGAUCUUCCACUGCCUCUCCUGCUACGGUGCCUGCUACAACACCCCCUUGGUGUGAGAACAGUGGAAGAUACCAAGCUGGGAUCUGUAUUUGUCCUGAUGAAUGGUACGGGGAUAAAUGCGAAAAAGCUUUUUUCUGCAACAGUAGUGUUGUCGAUUCUGCUGGUGAAACCCUCACGUUUGAUGCAAUUGUGGUUGGCUGGUUUGGUUACUCCAAGGAGCAGUGUGGAAAGGGAACACCUAAUGGUAUGUGCACCUCUUUAUAAAAUGUUUCUAUUAUAAAAUAGAACAGUAAAGCACAGUGAUAGUGCUGUAUGAUGAGAGUUAAUUAAUUGUGGUAAGCACCUUGUAGAACAUAUUAAUGUACACUCAAGCAUUGUAAAAGCAAAGUAAAGAUGUUAAAAUGUGUAGGAACAAAUGUGGGAAAACUGUGAAGUAGUUAUGACAAAUCACUAAUUCUGCAAAGCUUCCUUUGUGUGCAUUUGUUUUACUGUCAGUGAAAUAGUGUAAGCAGGUGACAACUUAUAUGGGCAUUCACACUUUACGUUGAUGUAAUGUGGCAAGAAGCAAUUCCUUCCCAAGAAAAAACAUACACAUUAAAUACGUUGUUAAUAUUAUUACUACAAUAUAUUUAA